rnacentral:rRNA from 1 species
CGUGCGAACGUUAUUCGGAUUCACUGGGCUUAAAGGGCGCGUAGGCGGGCUAGCCAGUCCGGGGUGAAAUCUUUCGGCUUAACCGGAAAAGUGCCUUGGAUACUGCUGGCCUUGAGGGAGGUAGGGGCAUGUGGAACUUCCGGUGGAGCGGUGAAAUGUGUAGAGAUCGGGAGGAACACCGGUGGCGAAGGCGGGUCUCUGGGCCACUACUGACGCUGAGAAGCGAAAGCAUGGGGAGCGAACAGG